UUGUCUGGUUGAAGUGUCCUUA
rnacentral:piRNA from 1 species